CCAGCCUGUCGGUCAUUACAACUACAAGCUGCCCAAGCACAUUCGAAAGCCAUUGAGCAGCUAAUUUCCCAAGAUAGAUUUAAAAGACAUGCGAUAACUAAGGUUGUGGUCUCUCUGGCUCCCACCACACAAAGCAGAGUUCUGAAGUGCAUGAGGAUUUCUUUUGCUGAUGCCAAAUAGUCAAGGCAUCCAAGGAAUCAAAAAAGGGCCAAAAUUGGAUACACAAUGAAGCAGAGGAAGGCAGUAAGGAGACAACUGUGUGUGUGGAAGACUUAGGCAAUAAUCCGGAAAGACAAGCUAUGGAGGCCUGGGGCUAUUGGGAAUUCUGCAGGAAGGAGCACACAUCUUCCCGAGACUUCUAAGGAGCAUCGAAUCAGCUUUCAUUUUCAGCUACUCUCUGCCGAGGCUCAGAUAGAGUGAGAGGAGAUCAAAGGAGAUGUAUAUUCGUUGGAACGAGUGUGCUGUCCCCUUGCAAUUGCUCACUGAAUGCAGUGCCUGCCUCAAAAAUGAAAAUGUUUUUGGCCAAGUUUGUGCUUUGGAUGCUAUUUCCCCAUUCUCAGAAACCCAGUACAUGUUGAGGCUUUUUCCUCCAGGAUUCAAAGAGAUAAAUGUUGAAUUUGAUCCCUGGGGGUAUGGCAGAAGCUACCUUACCAGAAUGUAAAAAAAAUAAAAAUAAAUGGAAAAUUCCUAAAAUCCUAAGAUUUUUGUGAGGCAAAUGCGAAAGAAUUCUUAGGUCGCAAUUCCUGCCCUUCAACUACAGGUAUAAUUAAAGGUAAAUGUAAAGCAAAGUGGUAGUUGCUGGGAGAACAAUUUACUAAGACUUUCUGUAAUCUCGUUUACUUUAAAGUCCAGGAUCUUCCCAAAAGCUGACCUUCUGCUUGAAUUUCUCCCAGUGCUUACUCAUACCAGUCUUAUCUAUGGUGUAAAAUGGCUAAAUCUGUCACUAGGGAGAAAUAUUCCCUAUUUGUGUGAGCAAGGAGUAACUCAUAUUUAUAAAUGGCCAAACAGAAAUGAUCAUUAUGAAUCUUUCACGACCACUGAAGAGGAAGAUGAGUCAAGAGUAUUUAUUUCCUAGGCUCUAUUCUUUAAGAAAAGCUAGUGUUUCUUGUUUUGUUUGUUGUCACAGCCACUAUGCCUGUAAGACUGCCCACUUCAUCUUUUUUUUAACUCUGAAGAUUCCUAAGCAUAUAUUCUCUACUCUAAGGAUACAGUGAAUACAUUUAUGGGGAACAUUUCUUGACUCCUUUUAUUAAAAUGAAAUUUAGGAAUGCAGAAACCAUUCAAAGAGUGGCUAUGGUAAAGAAGUCUUAUGUGUUAAUAUGCUCUAUUUGUGUAUGUAAGGAUCAAACUUUUGAAAGACUUAGUUAAAUGGUGCCAUUUCAGAGACAAAAAAAAAAUCUCACUGUCCCCAAAUGUCUUUCUCUCCAGCUUCCCACGCAUUUAAUUUAUGCAACUGGAGAAGUCUCCAGAAAGCCCUUUAACAUGCAAAUAUGUUUUUACCCUAGAGAGGCUGCACAUUAUCGCAUUAGCACAGAUUAGUUUAUCAGAUUAGCAGAGGGUGGCCCUGAGGAAAAGAAACACUGGACAGGUACAGUUAACAGGGCACACUCCUCAGGGAAUAGGGACCCGGGAACCAAAGGCCUUCUAUCAGGAAGCUAUUGGGCCAGAAGUCACCUGGUUGUCAGGCUCCCAUUUCCAGACAUUAGCCCUAGGCACACCAUAAAUUCUGGGACCCUGAGUCUGUUGUCCAAAGUCCACAAGUCUGUGGUUGAAUGCUGGCCCUAUGAUUCCCUAAAUUAACAUUUCUGUGCAACUUCCUCA